CAAACCCAACCUACUUCUACCAUUACCAUCAAAAAUCACAGCAUAUUGCCAUGGCUGUGAUUUCUCCAAAUAAGUGUGUGAUGCCCUCCAUAUGUAAACCAUGGGGUGAAAUUCCACACCUACUGAUGAAUUUUCAAAACUCUUGAAAUCAGUAAGCCUAUGAUUUUGUAUUCUUUUUUUACAUCAUGCUUCAAACAUUGCAAAUGAGUGUUUCUCGGUAUGCUGCAUUUUACAUUUAAGCUAAGAAAGGGUAUAUGGUAUUGUUAGCCACCUGAACUUUUCCUUUCUGUUUAUUUUCUUAAUGUGUGACAGAUUUCAGAGAGUUGCCUGUGGCAAUCCCUGUAUACUAUGCGGUCUUCUGCUUAUUUUGAUGCUUACUGUAUUGCAUUCACAGCAUUAAAGUAAAUUUACUGGUAUGACUGCUAUGUAGUGUACCUUGAAGGGAAGGUGUUCGAUUCUCUUUUCAUCAGAUGUGGAUACGCUUUUAGCAAAUUCUUGAGUACAAUGAAGGGUCAAUUCAAUCUAGUGAUUCAGAUGAUGGCCAGCUGUGCUCAUAGAACAAGCAGUCAUAGGGUUGGCUUGCUUGGGGGUGGCAGAGGAGGACCGAAGAAGGAAAAAAUUAAAGAUGAGCAAUGACCCAAGAUUUGUUUAUGAAUAAAAUCACACCAGAGAUUUUACAGAGUCUCCAUAGAGAAGUUCAGCUUUACACCUCUCUUGUAAAGUCACCUGUCUUGUGAUUUGUUCGUUAGAAAUACUUUUUAAAAAGUAGAAAUUGUACAAAUGGUUCAAAUCAAAAUUUCAGCAGUCUACCAGGAGAAAUGCUGCCCAACUCUAAAACAAAGUUAGCUGAAGUUGUUCUGUUUCAGUUUGUUCUGAUUUUUCUUUUUGGAUUCAUCAUUUGUCAUGAUAAUUCUCUUGUUAAUAAAAUUGGUUGCUGUCACACAGGCAGAUUAUCUCUGAGCAGACAGAAUAUAAAGGUGUCUAAUUUAGCUCUGACUCCCAGUGGUGAUUUCACCACUUCCCCUAAGCUAAAAGCUGCUAUACUGUAUAAUCUUCCCUAAUGCUUAACUUAAAUUUUCCUUGCUUUUGCUUAAAUUCAACAUUUUUUGUUUUGUCGUGACCAGUGAAUGCUCUAAUCCUUUUCUACUUAAUGAGGAAAUUUACAUAUUUCCAGAGCACACUUUCAAGUUUUUCUGCUGAUUUAACUAUUAACCUUUCCUCUUAUUUUCCGGAUUACUUAUUGGUUUUGCUAUUUUAAUUUGAACUAUCUUAAGAGUUACCUGUCCAUCCCUUCUGAAAUGUGUUUGCAAAUUAACUAGUUCUUAUGUAGACUUAGAGUAAGCUAAAUCCUAGUAAAUGUGUCUGUAUUUCAAGUGCAAUGACAUUAUAAAAAUACAUGUCAGUAAUUCCAUUAGUGUCUUUAAUAUUAAAGAUAAAAUGUUUCUUAAUUUAAA